rnacentral:rRNA from 1 species
CCUACGGGCGGCAGCAGUGGGGAAUAUUGCACAAUGGUCGAAACACUGAUGCAGCGACGCAGCGUGAAGGAUGAAGUAUUUCGGUAUGUUAAGCUCUAUCAGCAGGGAAGAAAAUGACGGUACCUGACUAAGUAGCCCCGGCUAACUACGUGCCAGCAGCCGCGGUAAUACGGAGGGGGCAAGCGUUAUCCGGAUUUACUGGGUGUAAAGGGGGCGUAGACGGCUUUGCAAGCCAGAUGUGAAAGGCCGGGGCUCAACCCCGGGACUGCAGUGGGAACUGGGUGGCUGGAGUGUCGGAGAGGUAGGCGGAAUUCGUAGUGUAGCGGUGAAAUGCGUAGAUAUCUGGAGGAACAUCAGUGGCGAAGGCGACUAGCUGGCACAUAACUGACGCUGAGGAGCGAAAGCGUGGGUAGCGAACAGGAUUAGAUACCCUGGUAGUC